UACAGAGGUCUCAAGCGUUGUUCGGAUUCAUUGGGCGUAAAGGGUGCGUAGGUGGCGGGGUAAGUCAGGUGUGAAAUUUCGGAGCUCAACUCCGAAACUGCAUUCGAUACUGCGGUGCUUGAGGACUGGAGAGGAGACUGGAAUUUACGGUGUAGCAGUGAAAUGCGUAGAGAUCGUAAGGAAGACCAGUGGCGAAGGCGGGUCUCUGGACAGUUCCUGACACUGAGGCACGAAGGCCAGGGGAGCAAACGGG
rnacentral:rRNA from 1 species